rnacentral:lncRNA from 1 species
AAAAAAAAAAAAGAAAACCCUCUGAAGGAGGGAUGAGGAAGGGUUCCCGGAGUUCCCUUGAACCUCCGGCCAAAGGUUUGCACGCGCCCAUGCACCACCGUCAACGGCGCUAUAUACGGCGGUCAGAAGCUGGAAAGCUUCCUGUUUCACCACAAAUCAAAACGGUACGUCCCUUUUGUUCUAUUUUUAUGCUUUUAAUAUGUAUUUAGAGAGAAAAAAAAGAAAUAUAGUAAUCACCUAUGUAUUCUCCAGUCGACUGUUGAUUUCUUUUAGUGUAAAAUGCGUUCUUGUUUUUUAUUGAAUCUCCUUAAAAAAAAUUCUCCUUACAUCGUUUUAAUUCGGGCUUUUUAUAGCCACUAUACAUAGUAUUUUACAUAUUUAAUGUUAUUUCCUGCCAUAUUUGUGUUGCCUCUGUCGUUCUUCUUUCCCCUUUUGCAAGUACCAACGAGGAGAUUUAGCAGUGAACGAACGCUGACAACGGUACACCGGCGUUGAUUCGGGCGUCGACCACGGCAUGAUUCGAAGCCUGGAAUCAUGGCCUGGAACCACGGCACUGAUAGUGGGUAACUGGAACGACGCGAGAUGAACAGACGCGUUGAUUGAAAUGUUUGCGGCGCUUAGGGUUUCUGAAACCCUAGGCCUCUCUGUCUUCCAUUCGUAAAUUGGGCCACUUGGGCCCUGUGUAUUUUGGGUAGCAUACAGGCUUGGGUGUAAUUGGGCCCUGGUUAGUUUUAGGUAUCUAGGCUAAGGGUUUUAGGCCUUUUGGGUGCAAAUGUAAACGGGUAAUGGGCUGUAAAUGUAAAUGAGUUUUGGGCUUUGUACAUGGACUGUAUAAACUUUAUUAUUUUUUUAAUUUAUGUUUUUGUUUUUAUUUAUUCAUUUAUGGGCUGGGCAAAUUUAGUUAUUACAAUAUGAUUUACAAUAUAAUAUAUCAACUAUUAUAUUUUAUUUUUGAGAUAUUUAAUUUAAUGGUUUAAAUUUUUGGUAUAAAAGAUUUUUGGUUGCAGUGAUUUUAAUUUUUAUUAUAUAUAAAAUCAAUUAAAAUAUUUUUGAUUUUUUAUUGUGAUAUUAAGAUAAUUUUAUUUUGGAUUAUUUUGGGAAACAUAGCAUGAUAAAAAAUUGCAGUCCUAAACUUUUGACUAUUAUGAAAACCUUAAAUUUGAAUUUUAGUAUCCUUAUAUAUUUUUUAGAAGGCAUAAUGACUAUUUUUGUCCUCCAACUUUAAAGAAAAUCAUUUUAACCUUUCAUUUAAUUUUUCGUCACUUUUAUCUUUUGAAUUUAUUUUAUUUUUGUCAAAUUAAGCCCAAAAUAGACAAAAAAGUUAACAACUUUUAACUUUGCUAAUGUGGAUGUCGCCAGCAAUUAAUUAAAUUUUUAAAGUUUCAAAAAAAUAAAAUAAUUUCAAAAAUUAAAAAAUUAUCAAAAUUGUUUUUAAAAUUUUGUAAAAAAAAUUAUAUUUUUAAUUAUUUUAACCUUUUCCAAGAUUUAUUUUCUUCAAAAUAUUAAAUAAAAAUAUUGUUUAAAAAAAUUAUUUUUUUUUAUUUUUUUCCUUCUUUCUUUUUCUUUCUUGGUAUCAUUAUUUAUUUUUUUUUCUUUUUUUUCUUUCUCCUUUUCCCAUCUUUCUCUAUUCUUUCUUUUUUUCUUCUCCUCUUCUCCUCACCCUAGACACUACCCGUCCAAGUCGCUACCGACGCCAUUUGGCUUCCAUCAAUCAAAAGCCCUAAAGUGACACUCCUUGUCCUUUAUUCUUGUUUUUCAAUUUAGAUUUCAUCAAACCCAAAAAAAAACCUUCGAAAAAUCCAACAAAAAAAUUGAAUAAAAAACUCAAUCCAUCAUCGUUUAUGGUUAGAUCGAUACUCUCGCAUUUCUUUUCUCUCGAGACUACCUGUCGUCGUCUUUAAUUGCUUUCUAUAAUUCAAUUAUAAACAUAAUAUUAAUUCACAUCCAAAUCACAUUAAAACAUAUAAUCAACAUAUUUUGCAUUUCAUUCAUUUUAGUCAUUAUAAUUGAAAUACUCAUAUUUUUCAAUAUUUAAUAUCAGAUCAAAAUCCAAUUUCACAUUCUUUCAUAAGAGACCCUAUACUUUUUGUCUAUAAUAUAAUUUCAUGACAACUUUCAAUUUAUUCAAUUUAGUCUCUAAUGUAAAAAAAUCUAACAAGUUUAACUUAAUUUCUAACUUAAUCUUUUUCAUAAUCCAAGCUUACUAACUAACAAUCUUUUCAAAUUCAAGCAUAAUUUCAUCAAUUUCACUAUAAUGGCUACUUGCUAAACAUCUAAUAAUUAAAGAAAUUAACAUAUGGGUUAGCGAAAUCAAUCCCUCGUGAUUCAAUUUCCAUAAAAAUUUAAAGAUCUAGCUUGAUUACCUUAAUUAAUUACUAGUCGAAAGUUGCUUAUGAAACUUGAGGUUUUUCUUUCCUUUAGAUGGUUUGGAUAGUUGAAAGGAAAAGAUGAUGGAUGAUUUAAAUCAUUUUUCCAUUCAUACUUAUAUAUAUACUUACACAUAUAUUAAAGUUUAAUUAAGCUUAAUUAUUUAUGAUUAGUCAUUAACUUAAGACAUGCAUAAUUGUAUGAAUUGUAAUUAAUAUAAUUAAGUGACUAUCAUCAUCACUUUCCACCAUCUCUUGGGAAAAAUGGUUUAAUAACCAUUUAGGUCAUUUGGAUAAUUUCUAACUAGGUUCUUAAGCAUUUUCCAAUUUCAAACUCAAUAGCGAUAGGACUUUUACAAUUUAGUCCCUAAAUUUUAAUUAAUGAUUUUCUUAGUUGAAUUACUUAACCAAUCUUUAAUAUAUUUCCUUAUAAACUUUGUACAUCUUCCUAUUUUAUCCUUAUGAUUUCGGUUUACAAAAAUAGAAUUCUAAAACCACAUUUUUCAACAUCGGCAAAAGUUGGGUCACUACAAACUUACAACGUAAUUGUGACAUUUUUAUUCAAUUUGGACAAUGGGGCAUGACCUACCCUUGCAUGCCAAAAAGAUUAAGCACAAUGAACACUUAAAAAAGAAUAAGCAAAAGAUGAAGUAGAAGGUUGUGCUGACGCGAAACAAGCUCGACGUGAUGAAAGACCAUACAAACCUUUUUGUUCCCUACUAAUUCCCUUCAUGUUACCACUGAAAGGUCCUAUAAUAAAAAAGGUUGGGGUGAAAAGAAACAAAAUGAUUGAGAUCAUGGGUUAGCUAUGAAAUGGAUAGAAAAUUGCAAUUGAAGUUUAGGACAUAAAGAACUUUGGUAUGAUUAUUAUAAGGAGCAAAAGUAAAGGUACUAAUAUAUGCAAUAGGAGUAGACUUUCUAUCUGGCAAUUGAACAAAUGAGGAGUUAGAAGCACAAGUAACAGAGAAUUCAAGCAUUGAAUAUCAGAAAUCAUGUGGUUAGUGGCUCUUAUAUCUAAGAUCCACUCAAGUGAAUAUGGUGCAAAGCUAAACACUAUACUUGCCAUAUGUGCGGCUACUUCAAUAGUUGGCUCAUUUCUUAACAACCUCAAAAUCUUCUAGUAUUAUUCUUAUGUAAAAACUAGAGCCUGAUGGUGUGGGUCGAUUGUAAAACUAGAGGAAGUUUUAGAAGUUGAUAAAUUAUUUACUGAUAGAUUAUUCUAUGUCUUUUGUUUUGUAAACUUGAAGUCAAGUGGAUACCCAAUUAAUGUCACACCCUAAAAUUGGGCUUAAAAGUUUUGGGGAUAAAUUAGGAAUUUUGACUCGGAAUGGGUUCAAAUAACCCAAAUUUGCUUUCGUCUAUGGCUUUUUGAAAAUUGAAACAGUUUUUGAAAAAAAUGUUCAAAAGAUUUUGAAUUUGGAAAUAAGGGUUGAUUUGUAAAAAGAUCUAAAUUAUGAGUUUUUAAAAGGUAGUUAGACCAAAUUUUAAUUUCCACCCUAUUUUCAUACUUUAUAUUCACAAAACCCACGUUAAUCUUCUCCAUCUUUUUGUUUUACCGUCCUCUGCAUCUUCCAAGCUCUUCUCAUUCAAUUUUGAUUCCCAAACUUAAUUUCUUAGAUUUCUAUCAUUCCCCAAGUCAAAAGUCUUCAUAGUAUUUCAAGAAAAACAUCCAAAACACCAUAGAUUUUGUCAUCCCCCAAGCUUGUGGGUUUUCCAAGUUGUCAACUAAAAGCUCGUUUUUCUUCCAUCAAAGAUAAGGAAUCAUUUUUCUAUUUGUUUUUAAUCUUAUAGUCUUUUAAAUGGAGUUUUUAGCUGUUAAAUUGCAUGUUUUAAAUAAAAGCCAAAAAUUGGAUUGUUAAUGGUGGAUUUCGAGAUUUUGGGUAAAAAUAUGGUGUCAAAGUGUUUUUCAAUUAGUUGACACGAUUAGAAUGUUUCUAAACUUACUAAAAAGUUUUUUUUAAAUAUUUCUAAUGUUUUAAUGAAAUUUUGUGAAAUUUUUCAUAAACAUGUAACACCCCUCACCCGUAUUCAAGGUCGAAAUAGGGUUACAGAGCAUUACCAAACAUAUUAUACAAUUACACAUACAUUUUCUCAUACAUUAUCAAUUUCAUGUAAUCAUCAAUCAACAACAUUCAUAUUGUCCCUAAUACGAGCCUAAGAGGCGCAAAACAUGCAUUCGGGGUGGUUUGGGACGAAACUGAUAACUUUAGAAGCUUUUCAAACACUUAGAAAUUUUUUCCACAAACAGGGGACACACGCCCGUGUGGCCCAGCCGUGUGAGAAGACACGCCCGUGUCACAGGCCGUGUGGAAAUUCAAAAUGGAAUCACAUGGUUGUGUCCCAGUCUAUGUCCGACCCUAUGUAACUUUCUGACUUGGGUCACACGGCCAAUACAUGCGCCCGUGUGCCCUAAAAAUGGUCAUACACGCCCGUGUACCAGGCCAUGUGCUAGGUCGUGUCAAACCUAUAGGGUAUACUAACUUAUGCCACACAGCCAAGUCAUACACCCGUGUGUGAGGCCGUUUAGAGCAUACUGACUUAAUUUAAAAUUCAACACCAAGGGACACAUGGCCGUGUACAUUACCGUGUAUCACACACAGCUGAGAAACACGCUCGUGUCUUUGCCCGUGUGGACAAAAAUUGUCUAUUUACCAAACCAUUUUGCCACCCAAAUUUGUAGGCACCUGUACCAAACCAAAUGGCACCAAAACAUAGUAUAUAUAGGAAUUCAAACCAACUAAAUCAAGCCUAAUUCAUGCUAACUCAAUAUCAUUAUCCACAAUAUACACAAGUUACAAAAUAGUCCAAUCUAUUUAUACCAAAUUCACAUAUAUAUUUCAACUAAAUAGACAAUUUCAAAUGUGCAUCAUUAUGCUCAAACUCACAAGCAUAUAUCUUCUCAUAUAUCAAACAUUUGAAAACCACAAUACCAACUAUCAAUAAGCAUCACAAAGACAACCUCAAUCACAUAAUACAAGCCAUAUGCACACAUAUACAUAUACAUAUACACAACCAAACCAACCAAAUUAAGCCAAAUUUCAUGACUAUAUAUACAAACCAAACCAAAAACAUUUACAAGCCAACUCAAGUGGCUAAAUUCAUCAUAAACUUAUAUACCAAAAUGACCAAAGUUCCUAUACAUGCCAUAUACUCAAAACAUAGAUUCAAAGGUACCAAAAUGAAUGUUUGAUAGUGUGAUGAAGUCUCCGACUAUCCCCAAAUUCGAGCUAGCAUUGAAAUCACUAUAAAACAUAGAAAAAUAAACAAAGUAAGCUAUAAAGCUUAGUAAGCUCGUAUGAAGAUAAUAAGCAAAACUCACAAUUUAGUUAACAUUCAAAAUAUGCAUAUACAUAUUACAAAAAUAUGUAUAAAAAUAAUUUUAACAUAUAUUCAAUCAUCUAUUUAGCCAUGAACUCAAAUCUUUCAUAUGCUCAAUACAUAUUCAGUUUCUGUACAUACUGAUACAGAUCUAUUCUCACCAACUCAUAUCCUCGAUAAACUCGUUGAACCAUUUGGAAUAAAUUCGGAUACCCGGGAAUCUUGCACAAUAAGUACCAAUAACAAUAUAGUCGAACUUAUCUCAAUAAUCUUCACCCAAAGUGUCAUUAUACAUAGCCGAAGCCAUCUCGAUCACGCACACGAAGUGCCAAUACAUAGCCGAAGUUAUCUCAAUAACUAUUCCUAAUGACAUGCCAUUUGUAUCCUAAUCUAUUCCUAAAGUUCAAUCGGGAUUUCUAAUGCCGAGUCGUCGUCGAAUUUAUCCAUAAUGUCGAAUUCAUAGUUUAUGCAAUAUCAAACAUUUAAAAUACAAUUAUAAUAAAACUUAUUACAUACGAACUUACCUCGAUUCACAAAAACGAUGAAAUAAGUCGAUUAGUCGAGUACUUUGGUUUUCCCCCAAUCUAGAUCUGAGUUUCACUUUUCUUGAUCUAUAUGUAAUCAAAUUUAGCUUAUUUAAUUAUCACUCUAUUCAAUUUAAUCCAAAAACACUCAUUUAAGCAUAUUUACACUUUUGCCCUAAGUAUUUCACAACUUUUACAAUUUAGUCCCUAUUUCAUAAAAAUUGAAAUUCAUGCUAUUUAAUACCAACUCAUGCUAGCCAAAUUUUCCUAGUUCACAUAUCAGCCUAUAUUUUUCAUUUAUUUCACAAUUUACCCACAAAAUUUUCAUAGUUCUUAAUUAAUUCUCUAAUUUGCAUUUUCACUAAAAAUCACUUAACAAAACUUGUGUAACUAUCAUCAAACAUUCAUAAUCUAUCAUCAAACAUCAAAAUACUCAUAGAUUCAUCAAUGGAAAAACCAUAAACCUUUAACAAUUUUGCAAAAUAGUCCCUGGGCAACGAUCUCAAAAACACAAAAAUCAUUAAAAACCGAGCAAUAAAACACCUACAUGCAUGGAUAGCUAUGGCUUAAUGCUUCAAACCCUUUCCAUGGAGUUUUCAAGGUUAAUAUUCAGUGGUUAAAACACUUUGGAAGAUGACCAUUUGUUUUUUUUAUUAUUUUAACUUAAGUUAUUUUAUAAUUUACUAAUUUAACCUUUAUUAAAACAUUAAAAAUUCAUAUAAACCAUUUACAUAAAUGUCCACCCACCUUAAUAAUGGUCUAAUUACAACAUAAGGACUUCCACUUUAAUAUUACAUAGCUUUUAGAUACCUUUAGCUAAUAGAACUCAAGUUUUACACUUAACGCGAUUUAGUCCUUUUUAUCAAAUUAAGCACUCAAACAAUAAAAUUUCUUAACGAAAAUUUCACACAAACAUACUAUCAUUCUGUAGACCUUAAAAUCGUAAUAAAAUAAUUAUUUCAACUUUGGAUUUGUGGUCCCAAAAUCACUGUUUCAAUUUGACUAAAAAUGAGUUGUUACAAAAGAUUUCAAAAAUUUUGAUAUCAUGAAUUGGGUAGUUUUAGUAGUUUAAAGGUUGAGAAUCAAUCGUAGGUGAAUAGUUAGAUGUAAAAAAUUAGUUUUAGGAAAAAAAAUUUAAGUAUAGACCGAGAUAGUUGAAAUUCAAGUUUGUUAUGUCGAAGGUUUCGAUUACAAAAGAAUUUAGCUUAGGCUUGCAUUUUGAUUGUUUGAAGUAAGUCUUUGACUGAUUGUUGAUGGUGUAUAUUGUGUGGUUAUUAUGAGUGAAACAUCAAAACUAUCGGAGCCUUCUAUGAGCAAGGCGAAAGGCAAGGAAAGCUAGAUUAAGCUUUCGACUUUUCGGCAAAAGUGAAAUCGGUGAAUGUUUGGAAUUACUUCUAGUAGACACAAUUUAUAGUGUUAUUUGGGAGCUUAAGAAUAACCUAAACCCCUAUCCUAAGUUUCAAAAGUAUGCUUUCUAUUUUACUUAUCUUAUUUUGUCAAAUUAUGUGAUUAUGUGAAUAAUUGUGGAUUGAUUAUUAUGAUACGAUAUUGUGAUAUGAGACAUGUGUGAUGACUAUUGUGAAUUGUGUUGUGUUGUGGGCAUGAUAUACAUGCCAAAUAAUAGUGACAAUGAUAUGCUAAUAAUGCAAAUAUGUAGUGAAAGCAAGCAAAAUUUUGAUAAAUAUAAAUGUUUUAAAUUGUGGAAUGUGAUAUUAUUAUGACAGGUAAUAUGUAAAAAUACUUGUAUGUGAUAUAUGAUGUAUUGAUUUUAAUGCACACAUAUGUAACCAAAUAUCAAAAUGUCACACCACUGUCUCACAUCACACACAGUACAAAUGAGCACAGUAUUAAAGAAACGUCUUUCAUUGUAGCAUCUACAUGAGUUUUAAGUCAAAUAAGGUCCUAAUUAUCAUUAAGACUUAUACACUUGCUUUAAAAGAUCAUAUAAUAACAUUUGCAUAUACAUGAGGGCCACUUAGCAAAAUUUCCAAAACAAUCACGUACGUAUCGAUACUAAAACAAAUGUAUCAAUAUUUCCUUUAAAUGGUAUUGAUACCAAUUGGAAAAUCGGUACCAAAACAACAUUAUGUUUCUCCUCUGAAAAUCAAAUCCUAGAAAAUUCCAAUACAUUUAUUAAAGUAUCAAUUAUUUUACCCCGAUUAUCGAUACUCAUGAUAAGGUAUUGAUACCAAAUUACAAUAUUGACUUUUUUCACAACGAAAAAUCAUAGAGGUAUCAUUUUUAAAACCUGAAUAUCGAUAUCUCUACUUUAGACACCAAAAGUACAACAUAAUAAGGUAAAUAAUCCAUCCCAGUCAUAAACCAUUCGACAUAUAACUAAUACCACAUCAAAAUGACCACAAUAAUAGUUCAAUCAUCGAAAUCACGUCUGAGUAACCAAGCGACAUAACAAGAACAAUAUCCAUAAAUCCUAAGAGUUAAUAAACUAUGAAAAUAGCCAAAACAUCAUGGCAACACUUAUGUAAUAAUUCUACCACAUUGCCUUUAUUUCCCAAAUAAAAAACAAAUAAUAAAUCACCUAUAAAGUAUUACUAGAAACUCGCUUGGAUCAAUCCUUUGAAACCAUACCGCUCAUACCAAAACACUACUAAUCUAUAAUAGAUUAAAAGGAGUGGGUGAGCUUAACAAGCCCAGUGAAUGUCGGAGUAACCACAGAGUAUACACAAUAUCAAUGGUUAAACAAGAGCAUACUAGAACACAUUCACAUCCAUAUUCUAACCAUGUCACAAUAACAUAUUCAUGAUUAAUUAAAUCAACAAUUAAAAAUGUGUAAUUUUGUUCUGGAUAUGUUGGCCUUGUGACCUUAUGAGACCAUUGGAUAUAGUUGGCAUGCCAUGGGAUUGUCAGUACUCACCUAUAUGUAUUUGUGAUUUAGACAUUGAGGCCCCGGGACAUGUUUGGAGAGAUAAGAGAAUGUGAGCUAAGCUUCAUUCAACAAGACAUGUUUGGUGUGUUGGAGAGUGUUAGCUUUAUGCUUCACUUUUUGGGAUAUUUUCGACUCUAUCAAUUGGUGUGUUGGAGACCCGUGUAUUCUAUGUGUGGUGAUAGAACUAAUUUUUAUGUUUCACAGCCUCAAGUGCCAAAUUAUCGUUUAAAUGUGAUCUUAUUUAUUGUGAUAAUAUAAUGUAAGAUGGUUGCAUAAACAUGUAAAUAAUAUGGUAAAUGAGUUUAUUUAAGUUCCAUGAAAAUGAUAGUAUGUUCUCAUAGUAAAUUGCGUAUGUAAUUGUAGUUUGGGUCAUUUUUAUUUAACUUGUGAAUGCAUGAGAAUAUAUCAGCUAGACUUGUGAGUUAUUAAAGCAUGUAUACGUUGUUAGUCUUAAUGAAUUAUUAUAAAAUGAAUUAUUUGAAUAUGAGUUGAGUGUUGCUAUACAUGAGAGUAUAUGCUAGUUUUAUGAUUUAAUAAAGUGUAAAUAUGUUAUUUUGACAUGGUUAGAAUAUGGAUGUGAACGUGUUGAAGUAUGUUCUUAUUUAACCUUUGAUAUUGUGUAUAUUCUGUGGUUACUCUGGCAUUCAUUGAGCUUGGUAAGCUCACUCUCUCCUUUUAAAACCAUUGCAGAUUAGUUGUGUUCUGGUGUGAGCAGUGUGGUUCCAAGGGGGUGAUCCAAGCAAGACUUUAACAUUAUUUUGUAGGUGUUAUUUAUUAGUUUAUGUUUUGGAGAGAUAAAGGCAAUAUGGUAAAAUUGUUGCAUGAAUUUUACCAUGAUGUUAUGGUUAUUUUCAUGGCUUAUUUGCUCUUUGGAUUUAUGGAUAUUGUUCUUGUUAUAUUGUAUGCUUACUCGGACAUGUUUUCGAUGAUUGAACUAUUAUUGUGCUUGUUUUGAUGACUACCUGAUCAGUAAACAAUACAUGUUGAAUGGUCAUUAGUUUGAAUGGAUUAUAUGCUUUAAACUGUUGGAUUUUUGUGGCUUGAAGUAAAAGUAUCAAUAUUUGGGUUCUUAAAACAAUACCUUUGUGAUUUUCAAAAGUGUAGAAAGUCAGUUUUGCAAUUUGGUAUCGAUACCAUAUCACGAGUAUCAAUACUCGGGGUAAAAUAAUUGAUAUUUAAAAAGAGGUACCAAUAAUUUUUGGGCUUUCAUUUUUGGACGAGAAACAGAAUGUUGUUUUGGUAUCGAUUUUCCAAAAGGUAUUGAUACCAUUUAAUAGAAAUACUAAUACAUUUGUUUCAAUAUCAGUACCUACAUGAAUUGUUUUGAAAUUUUGCUAAGUGAUUCUAAUGCAUGUUUAAUUAUUAUAAGUUCAUUUAGAGUAUGUUUGGCAUGUUCUAAUGAUGGAUGAUAUGUGUUUGACUUUAAAUUCGUACAAAUGCUAAAUAGAAAGAACAAUUGUUUUUUAAUCUGACAUAUUUUAUGUAUAUGAUGUGUGAUGGUGGUGUGACAUCCUAAUAUUCGGACUCGGUGACUGAAACGGGUAUAGGGUGUUACAAUUAACUUGUAACAAGUUUCCCUUUUAUGACUCUUAAUCUUGCAAUGAUCACAAAGACCAGUAAAUUUCUUUUUGGGACCUAUAUGUUGCAUGUUAAAAGAAUAUAAGGCAGUAAGAUCAUUAAUCAUAACUAACCUUGAAAUAUGCUAUCGUUGAGCUUCUUUUUGAAUAACCAUCGAGUAUGCUUGAUUGAUCGAUAGUAGGGGCUGCAUUAAUAACAUUUGACUCUUAACGACUGAAUAUAUUUCAUUUAAUCCCAUGAAAAAUUGAAACAAUCAUUCCUGAAGCAAGUGUUAAGCAUUCUUCUUAGACAAGUCACAAUCAUGAGUAGAAAAUGGGACUAAGGCAUCAUAUUCAUCCCAUAAAAGUCUUAGAUUUUUAAAAUCAUUGCAAAUAGAAGAAACAACUUGAACAUGAGAAGCAAUAAAGACUCGAGAGCAUUAAACUUUGUCAUUCAUCUCUUUGAGAUCUUGCCAAACUAAUGUUGCAUUAGAAGCAAAUACUAUACCAGCAGAAAGCUAUUUACAAAUAGUAUAAAGAAUCCAAGAUGAUACUGCGACAUUGUAUCUUUCCCACUGAGACUGCCAUCUAGAAGGGAACUAAUCUUUCUUGUAAGAACCAUAAACAAAUCCCAAAUUUUUCUUUGCCAACAAUGCUAUGUGUAUAAACCAACUACAAACACUAAUUCUCAAAUCCUAAAAGCUGAUGGGAGACUAAAAGAGACUCCUUAGGUGGAUGAAUAUGCAAAGGAUGAUUGAAAUCAAUUAAAGUGGUAGAUUUUUUAUCAUUGACCAUUUCAAUAAAAAACAAAUAAACUAUAAAGCUUUAACCAUGAAUUCAUAGGAAUCACAAAAACUAAAGAAAUCAAAAUCAAUGAAAACUUAUCAGAGUAAGAGAUCGAAAAUUCUUCUUGACCCGGAUACCAUGUUGAAUUAAUUGAUAAGAGAUCAAUUGUUGAGAGAUCGAAAAUUCUUCUUGACCCGGAUACCAUGUUGAAUUAAUUGAUAAGAGAUCAAUUGUUGAUGAUGAAAUCACAAAGAAGAGAGAAAACUUUUUUUUUUUGUUAUCAUUGAAUGAAUAAUAUUAAACAAAUUGUAGACACCCUUUUUUGUCUGAACCCAAUUGGAGGCCCAUUUGUUCCAUUUAAAUUUGUGUUCUCUUUGGCCCAUUCGAAGCUCACCCUAUUUUGGUCAAAUGGAGGUAUUUGUUUUUCUUUUCUUUUUGGGCCUACUAAGGGCCCAAAUUAUUAUUAUUAUCAUUCCUACUAGUAUUGUUAUUAUUAAAUAUUAUUAUCUUUUUUUACAAAUAAACAAGAUUGAAAAACAAUAUAUAUAUACAUGAAAGGAAAGGAAAGGAAAGAAAAGGAGGCUUUUCAUAUUCUUUUUUUUUAAAGAAAAAAAGAUAAAAGAAAACAACAAGAAGAAGAAACAUGCUAUUUCUUUUUCUUUUCUUUUUGCUAUAGACAUGUCAUUAGGGAUCAAGUUUUGGGCUUCAGACAAUCGGUCCUCCACCCUAGGAGCCCCAAAAAUCCUAGUUUAUUUCCCUUCCCCUUUCUAAUAUAACGGUCUUUUUUUAAAAAAAGGUUUGAUCUUGAGAAAAGUUUUGGUUUUUUUUUUUUAAAAAAAAGAGAAAGUUUAGAUUUUUUUAAAAAUAAAAAAUUAUUUUUCUAGUCAUUUUAAAGGAAAGUUUAAAAUUUUAAAACAAAUUUUUGAUUUAUUUUUUCAACUAUUUCGAAAUAAAAGCUUUGAUCUUUAAGAAAAGUAGUUUUUUUUAAAAAAAGAGAGUUUAGAUUUUAAAAAAUAAAAAAAAAAUUAGUCAUUUUAAAGGAAAGUUUAAAAUUUUAAAACAAAGUUUUUAUUUUUAUUUUAACUAUUUCGAAAUAAAAGCUUUGAUAUUUAAGAAAACUAGUGAUGUAAUGCCCAAAGUUUUAAAUAUAGGUUAUGAUAAAAUAGUACAUAAUUGAGUAUCUGAUUUAGUGGUUAAGUGUUCUGGGUGUGUGUGUGAGGUCCCAACUUCAAGCCACAACUUAGGUGAAUUUUAGUAUUUUUAUGAAUAAAGCCCUAUCUCUGUACAGUAUACUUUUAUUUAAUUAUUUGUGAAAACAUAUUAGAAUGGGCUUGUUGGUCUAGUGGUUAAGUGGAGUGUUGAUGUGUUGGAGGUCCUGUGUUCGAAUCUCUGAGUAGGCAAGGGAUAGUAUUUUUGCUUCCUAAUUGCGGCUAGAGUAGUGUUGAAAGGGGAUUCUGAGUAGUGGGAUAGUUGUGAGAGAUUUGAGAAGAUUAUGGGGGAAGUUAUCAUAAUAUUUGCCUAUUCUGAUUAUCUUUUUUUCAAAUUUCUGGCUCCCUCUUCCUCUUUCCCUGAAAACAAACGGAAACACUCAAUUUUCCCCUCUUCUUAUUGCUUUUGAUCUCAAUCAAUACCUUUCCCUUUUUUGUUCAUUCAUUUUGCUCUUCGGGAAGUUAUUUGCUGCUUUCAGCCCUAGUUGGUAAGUAAUCUUUGUGCUUUGGAGUUUGAUUUUUAAGUUCUGAUUGGAGGUUUGUGUAUUAUGUUUUGAUAGCAGAGAAUAGAGUGUAAAGAGGGCUGCCUUAGUGUCGUUUAGUAGUUAGAUCAUUCGGGGUUUUGAGGUAAGCACUAAAUAGAUGUUUUGAGUUGUUGUAGGAGUGGUGUUUUCGGCUUAAUUCUGGUAUUAAGACUAAUGUUAGUGUUGGAUUGGUCAGUUUUACGUAAUGAUCGUCUCGGGUGUGGUUUUAACAUCUAAAGAUACCAGGUAUGUACCCAAAACACAGAAAACGAGAGUCAGCGAAAAGUCGAAAAACCAAUCUUUCGACACUACACAAGCGUGUGGUUGCCCGUGUGGUAGGCCUUGUGACAGAACACGGGCGUGUGAUCGACGAGCCAAGUCAUGCGUGCAUGAAACGACCAUGUGACAACUAGGUAGGUCAUGUGCGUCACACGAGCUCGACCGGGUUGGGCCGUGUGGGCCCAGAUAGGUAAACCACACGGGCGUAUGAGAUUCUGGGCCAAGCUGUGUAAUCCACACAACCAAGGCUAUUUUGAGCCGCAUGGGCCAUACGAACGUGUGGGCCCACAUGGGCAUGUGAACCCAUUUUUCUGAAAUCAAUUUUGUAAGGUUGCACGGGUCGCUCAAGUUGACUAUGACCUACUAUAGGAUCGAUAAGCAUUGUUUGGUCCCCUAAAUGCGUGAUCUAUUGUAUGAUAUCAGUACUGAGUCUGAUAAUACUGAACUGAUUGUGUGAAUGAUUAUUGCAUAAUAGCAUGCCAUUCAUUGUAUGUUGUAUUGAAUCGGGAUGGGUUGAUGAUUUAUUGGAGGAAGUGUCUGAAAGGCUCUUAAGCCUAUUAUCCAGCAGCUCAGCUGCAAAUAUCUGUUUAUGUGUCGCGUUUCGGUAAAGUAUGGUGUGUAGGGAUGGGUGGGUCAAUUUUAUCCUCACAUGGUGUGUAGGGUUGGAUGGAGAUGGUGUGUAGAGGCUGGUGGGUAGGAUUCUAAUAUUCUAUUCUGCAUCUGUAUCUGCUUAGGCUAAAGCCCUAAUUAUAUCUAAUUCUGCAUCUGAAUGGGCUAAGUCCCAAACUGAUUCUGUAAUGGGCUCUGGCCCUAGACUGUUUAUUUUUGAAUUCUGAUUAUUAUUCUGUAUGUUUUCUGUGGGGAUUACACACUGAGUUUGUGAAAACUCACCCUUUUCUGUUUAAUCUAUACAGGUAUUCCCCAGUCUUGACGAAUCGGUGUAGUGGAGGACUCGAUGGUGGCCACAUGUAAAAUUUUAGACUGACUUUCCAUUUACUUCUAGUUUUUAUUACUUAUUUGGGGUUUUUGAUGUAAUUUUGGACUGUUUGGUUUUAAUUCGAGAUUUUAUAUGGUUUUAUGAUUAUUUAAACUGCAACUCAUCAAAACUCAGCUUUCCUAAAAACUAAGGUUGUCGUAAAUAAAAACUAUUUUUCCUAAAAUAAAAUGUUUCUAAAUCUUUCGCUUAAAAGAGAUACGUUUUAAUCACAACAAAGACCAUGUAUAUCUACUCCAGGGUAAAACAAAGAUUAAGUAACUGAAACGAUUUUAACUCAUCAAAUCUGAUUUCAAACUCCAUAUCAUGUGACAUCACCAGAUUCGGCCAUAACGUCUGGGCCAGGUUUGGGGUGUUACAUUUAAUGGUAUCAGUGUCAGGUUGCAAAAAUCGACUCUGGAUAGGGUUUUAAAUUCUGUUUAAAAGAAAUGAUUUUCAAUAGGUUGAAACAUUCUUAAUUGAGAAUAUGGUACACCGAGUGAGUCUCCAGCACUGAUCUUGUAAGUUUCUGAAACUCUGUUUAGAAUUGUCUGAAAGUAUGAUUAGAAUAAACUGAAACUACUUUAGGUAGUGUAUUACAUUGAAAACACUCUAGGUAGUGUAAACUAAGAAUUGGAGUGAGACUACUUCUCAAGGUAACCGACUCUGAAUAUUCUAAUACUUUACUGCAUAAAAUAUUUGUUAAUAUAAUAUCAAAACUGUUAACUAAUGUAUAAAACUGCUAAUACAGAUAAAUUUUGAAAUUUACAAUGAGCGCACGUAGUACUCGUGGACGGGGUACUAGAGGCCGUGAUAGAGGCCGUACAGGGGCUCAAGUUAGGUUUUCGUUAUCUGGGAAUCUGCCUAACUUGGAUACUAGUGAGACACUGGUAUCACCUGUGACAGAGACUGGGUCUCGAGAUCGUGCAGUUGGGGACAACGCACUGUCCCAAGCCAUGUUACAGAUUCUGGAGAGGGUCGUUGUGCCCAACAUUGGAACUGGGGGCCGAAGGUCGGUUACGGAAUGACUCCGGUCUAAAGGGGCUGAGUUAUUCAGAGGUGUCGCUGGAUUCACCCCUAAUGUGGCCGAGUAUUGGAUGGAGGCCACGGAAAGAAUUAUAGACAACAUGGAUUUUACUGCUGAGCAGAAGCUUAAGGGAGUUACAUCUUUGCUUCGUGAUGAGGCGUACCAGUGGUGGUUGACGGUUAAGGAAGGCACCCAGCCCAACUGACUGACAUGGGAUCUUUUUAAAACGGCCUUCCAGGGCAAGUAUGUGGGGGUCAGUUAUAACAACGCUAGGAGAUGGGAGUCCCUUAAUCUUACUCAGGGAGAUCGUUCAGUGGCCAAGUAUGAGGCUAAGUUCUUGAGGUUAAGCAGUUAUGCGUGAGGCAUGGUGGCAACCGAGUAUGAGCGCUAUGUCUGAUUUGAGGAUGGUCUUAGAGACAGCUUGUAAGUUUUGAUAGCUCCGUAGAGGGAGCAUGAUUUUUAUGUUCUAGUUGAGAAGGCGAACAUCGCCGAGAAGGUUAAGCGUGCUAACGCCAAAAUCGAGAGAAAAGAAAGAAUAAGAGGGAAUUAGAGCCCUCGAGUUCUGGGAUAAGGCCUAAGAAAAAGACCAGAGCUAAUGGACCAGUUAGAGUUGGGCUUCCUGUUACACCUAUUGCGGUGGCGCUUUGUGGGCACUAUGGUAGACGUCAUCCGAGCGAGUGUUGGAGGACUACUAGGGCAUAUCUGAGAUAUGGGUCAACUGAGCAUCGUGUUAGAGACUGUCCAUUGAGAACUAGUCAGAUGCAAGCUCCAGUUACUGAGACUGCACAACCGUUGAGAGCAGUUCAGCAGCCACCUACGGGCUGAGGUCAGGCCAGGGUGGUAACGGCAUGGAGCGAGGGCAGAGAGCAUCAGGUAGAGGUCCUGGUUCAACUGAGGUGAGGCAGCCUACUUUGGUCUAUGUUGCUCAUCGCCGUGAGGAUAGAGAUGCAUCAGACAUCAUUACGGGUACGUUUUUAAUAUUUAAUGUACCUUAUCUUACACUGAUAGACCUAGGCUUUACACACUCAUAUGUAGCUAGUUCUGUGUCUGAGACUUUGGGGAUUCCAGUUGAGAGUACUAAUAAUGAGGUAACUGUGUUAAGUCCUUUGGGACAAUCUGUUCGGGUUAGUAGAGUGUAUAGAGAUGUUUCGCUGGAGGUUCAAGGGACAAUGUUUCUGGCUGAUCUAAUGGAGCUUCUGUUUGGGGAGUUCGAUCUGAUUUUGGGGAUGGACUGGCUGGUUAAACACUGGGUGAGUCUAGAUUGUGCGACAAAAAUGGUUGUCUUGAGGAUCGAGGAGGACAAUGAGGUAGUCGUGAUUGGGGAACAACGUGAUUAUCUAACUAAUGUGAUUUCUGCAUUGGCGGCAGAAAAGUUAGUGAGGAAAGGGUGUAAGGCAUUCUUAGCCUACGUCAGUAUUUUUGAUUCUGGAGACUCUUCGGUUAAGGACAUCAGAACCGUGAGGGACUUUCUAGACGUAUUUCCUAAGGAACUACUGGGGUUGUAUCGAAGCCGUGAGGUAGAGUUUAGGAUUGAGUUGAUUUUGGGUAUAGCUUUGGUGUCUAUCACCCCUUACCAAAUGGCACCAAAGGAGCUUACAAAGCUUAAAGCUCCGGUUCAAGAACUGUUAGAUCAUGGGUUCGUUCAUCCCAGUGUGUCUGGGGAGCACCUGUUCUAUUUGUGAAAAAGAAAGAUGGGACAAUGAGGAUGUGUAUCGACUAUCGUUAGUUGAACAAGUUAAUGAUCAAGAAUAAGUACCCACUUCCAAGAAUAGAUGAUUUGUUCGACCAGUUCUGAGGAGUUUCUAUAUUUUCUAAGAUCGAUCUAUGAUAGAGUUACCAUCAGUUGAGAGUUAAGGAGGUCGAUGUGUAUAAGAUGGCAUUUAGGCCUCGUUAUGGACAUUACAAGUCUCUAGUUAUGCCAUUUGGGUUGACUAAUGCACCAGCAGCAUUUAUGGACUUGAUGAAUCUGUGUUCUAGCCCUAUUUGGACCAAAUCGUGGUGGUAUUCAUCGAUGACAUCUUGGUAUAUUCUAAGUCUGAGGAUGAGUACAAUGAGCAUCUUAGAGUGGUUCUACAGACUCUUAGGGAGAAACAUUUGUAUGCGAAGUUCAGUAAGUGCGAGUUCUGGCUCUGAGAAAUAGCCUUUUAAGUCAUGUGGUUUUGGUUGAGGGGGUGUUAAUCUUCCUAAGAUUGAGGCUAUGUUAAGUUGGAAAUAGCCGAAGAUUGUAUCUAAAAUUUGUAGCUUUAUGGGGCUGGCAGGAUAUUAUUGAUGAUUCAUAGAGAGGUUCUCCUUGAUCGCAGCUCUGUUAACUAAGCUUCUGUAUAAGGGAGUUCCUUUUGCUUGGAAUGAUGCACAGUAAGAGAGCUUUGACAAGCUCAAGACCGUUUUAACUUAGGCUCCUGUUCUGAUAUAGCCUGAGCCCAGUAAGGACUUCGUGGUUUACAGUGAUGUUUCACACGUCGGUUUAGGGUGUGUAUUGAUGCAGGAUGGUAAGGUGGUAGCUUAUGCAUCCCAUCAGCUCAAAAAUCAUGAAGCAAACUAUCCUACGCAUGAUUUGGAAUUGGUUGCGGUAGUCUUCGCUUUGAAAAUUUGGAGGCACUACUUGUACGGUGAGAAGUGUACUAUCUACACUAAUCAUAAAAGCCUCAAGUAUCUCCUCAACCAAAAGGAGUUAAAUCUUAGGCAACAUAGAUGGGUGAAACUGCUUAAAGAUUACGAUUAUACCAUUGGGUACUAUCCAGACAAGGCCAAUGUGGUGGCUGACAUGUUGAACCGUAGGGAUAUGGCCGAUCUGAGAGUGAUGUUUGCUUGACUUAAUUUAUUCGACGAUGGGAAUCUAUUGGUAGAACUUCAGGUAGAACCGACAUGGAUUGAUCAGAUCAAAGGUAGACAGAUAGGGGAUAAGUCUCUUGAGUUGCAUUUCCAUCAGGUUGAGAGUGGUGUUACUAUAGAUUUUGGGAUUAAUAAGGAUGGGUUAUUGUGUUUCCGAAGUCAAAUUUGUGUGCCGAAUGGUGAGGACUUGAGACAGUCGAUUCUGAAGGAAGCACAUAGUAGCCCUUAUACUAUGCAUACCGAUGGGAAUAAGAUGUACAGAGAUCUCUGAGAGCUAUAUUAGUGGCCAGGGUUGAAGCGUGAGGUUACUGACUUCGUUGCUCGCUGUUUGACUUGCCAGUGGGUCAAGGCUGAGUAUCAGUUACCUUCGGGUUUGCUGCAGCCGGUUAAGAUUCCGAUGUGGAAAUAGAAGCAAGUAACGAUGGACUUUAUUAGUGGGUUGCCUCUAACACCCACUAAGAAGGAUUCUGUCUUGGUCAUCGUGGAUCGAUUGACCAAGUCUGCUCACUUCAUUCCGGUUAGGACAGACUUGUCUCUUCAGAAAUUGGCUAAGCUCUACAUAUCGAAAAUAGUGAGAUUGCAUGGGGUACCCGUCUCAAUCAUUUCGAAAAUAGUGAGUUGGACCGCAUUCAUGAUGUAUUUCAUGUCUUCAUACUGAGGCGUUACCGCUCUGAUUCCGCGCAUAUUGUUCCAGUUGAAGAGAUUGAGUUUUGACCAGAUUGACCUUCGAGGAGGAACAAGUUCAGAUUCUGAAUCAUGACGUUAAGGUUCUAAGGAGGAAAUCUAUUCCUUUAGUGAAAGUGUUGUGGCAGAAUCAUUGCACUGAGACGGCCACGUGGGAGCCAGAGGAUUCGAUGCGGCAGCAGUAUCCUCAUAUUUUCUAAUCAGGUAAAAUUUCGAGGCUGAAAUUUUUUUAGGUGGUAGAAUUGUAAAGCCCUAAGUUUUAAAUCUAUGUUAUGAUAAAAUAUUACAUAAUUGAGUAUCUGUUUCAGCGGUUAAGUGUUCUGGGUAUGUCUGAGAGGUCCCAAGUUCAAGCCAUAACUUAGGUAAAUUUUAGUAUUCUUAUGAAUAAAGCCCUAUCUCUGUUUAGUAGACUUUUAUUUAAUUAUUUGUGAAAACAUAUCAGAAUGGGCCUGCUAGUCUGGUGGUUAAAUGGAGUGUUGAAAGGGGAUUCUGAAUAGUGGGCUGUUAGUGGUAUAGUAGUGAGAGAUUUGAGAAGAUUAUUAGAGAAGUUAUCAGAAUAUUGCCUAUUAUGAUUUUUUUUCAAAUUUUUUCCUCCCUCUCCUUCUUUCCCCGAAAAUUGAUGGCAACUCUCAUUUUCCUCGUCUUCUUGUUGCUUUUGAUCUCAAUCAAUACCUUUUUCUUUGUUGUUCGUUUAUUUUUCUCUUCGGGAAGCUAUUUGUUGCUUUCAGCCCUAGUUGGUAAGUAAUCUUUGUACUUUGGAGUUUGAUUUUUAAGUUCUGAUCAGAGGUUUGUGUAUUAUGUUUUGAUAGUAGAUAACCGGGUUUAAAGAGGGCUGCCUCAGUGCCAUUUGAUAGUAAGAUCGUUUAGGGUUUUGAGGUAAGCACUAAGUGGAUGUUUUGAGUUGUAGUAAGAGUGGUGUUUACGGAUUAAUUCUGGUAUUAAGACUAAUGUUGGUGUUGGAUUGGUCAAUUUUAGGUACUGAUCAUCUCGAGUGUGGUUUUAGCAUCUAAAGAUACCAAGUGUGUACCCGAAACGUAGAAAACGAGAGUCAAUGAAAAGCCAAAAAACCAAUUUGUUGACGCCACAUGACGGAACACGGGUGUGUGAUCAAUGAGCCAGGCCGUGCGUACAUGACAUGGCCAUAUGAUAGCUAGAUUGGCCGUGUGUGUCACACAGGCUCGAUCAGGUUGGGCCUUAUGGGCCACACGGGUAUGUGGAAUUCUAGGCUAGGGGGUGUGGUCCAACAUGGGCAGGCUACAUGGGCAUGUGAGCCCAUUUUUUUGAAACAAUUCUGUAAGGUUGCACGAGUCACCCAAGUCAACUUGACCUGCUGUAGGGUUUGUAAGCAUUGUCUAGACCCCUAAACGCGUGAUCAAUUGUAUGAUAUCUAUACUGAGUUUGAUAAUACUGAACUGAUUGUGUGAAUGAUUAUUGCAUAUUAGCAUGCCAUUCAUUGUAUGUUGCAUUGCAUCGGGGUGGGUUGAUGAUUUAUUGGAGGAAGCGUCUGAAUGGCUCUUAGGCCUGUUAUCUAGUAGCUCAGCUGUAAAUAUCUAUUUAUGUACCGCGUUUUGGUACAGCAUGGUGUGUAGGGAUGGGUGGGUCGAUUUUAUCCCCAUAUGGUGUGUAGAGGUUGGUGGGUAGGAUUCUAAUAUUUUGUUUUGUAUCUGCAUCUAAUUACUCUAAAGCCUUAAUUUAUAUCUGAUUCUGCAUCUGAAUGGGCUAAGGCCCGAACUGAUUUUGUAAUGGGCUCCGACCCCAGAUUGUUUAUUUCUGACUUCUGACGAUAUUCCACACUGAGUUUGUGAAAACUCACCCUUUUCUGUUUAAUCUAUACAGGUAUUCCCCAGUAUUGACUGAUCGGUGUAGGGGAGGACUCGAUGGUGGCCACAUGUAAAAUUUUAGACUGAUUUUCCAUUUACUUCCAGUUUUUAUUACUUAUUUGGGGUUUUUGAUGCAAUUUUGGACUGUUUGGUUUUAAUUCGGGACUUUAUAUGGUUUUAUGAUUAUUUAAACUGCAACUCAUCAAAACUCAGCUUUCCUAAAAACUAAGGUUUUCGUAAAUAAAAACAAUUUUCCUAAAAUAAAAUGUUUCUAAAGCUUCCGCGUAAAAGAGAUACGUUUUAAUCACAACAAGUAGCACCGGUUACGACAUUAAAAUAGUAUUGCAGCAAAGCUGCUAUUAUAGUAGGCUUAAAGCCAUCAAUAGGUCCACAGUCGUCCUGCACGACCCGUGCGAACAUAUCAGUACAGUACACUUCCUCCAAAAUCAUAUAUCCCACCCCGUGUAAUGCAACAUAAUAUUAUACAUGGAUGCAACAUACAUAUAACAUGGCAUGCUCAGAUACAGUCAUACACAUCGUAGAACAAAUCUAUCAUUUUACCUUACCCGGAUAUUACAGUUAUUUUACCCUACAGGUGUAUUUCGGUCAUUUUACCCUAUGGGGGUAUUUCAAUCAUUUUACCCUAUGAGGGUAUUUCGAUCAUUUUAUCACAUAAGAGUUCAGGUAUGCUUAUCGAACCAACAGAAGCUCACAGUCGUCUCAGGCGACUCAUGCAAACUUAACAAUCAAAUAGUGAAAAUGGCCCAAGGCCCAUAAUACGGGCCCAUGUGGGCCCACAUAUUCGUGUGGCCCACGAAGCCCAAAAAUGGCCUUGACUGUGCAAACUACACAAUCUGGCCCAAAAAUCUCCACGUGUCCGUUUCAUUUACCCGUGUGGGCCAACGAGCCCGUGGGGCCUACACGGUCCAUUUCGGCCCAGCGUGGUCCAAAACGGCCUAAGCUCAUGAAAUCACUCAUGGCGGCCUCUACGUUCUAACGUACAUGAUUUACGCAUUCGGGAUACUACACGAGCGAGCGCAUGCUCAUGUAGAGUCAACAAUUCUUUAUUUUGGCUUUUGUCGUUUCACUAUUUAGGUAGUGUGAUUACACACCUGAUUAUGGAAUGCGUGAAAAAGACCACGAGUAGUUUACCCUGAUUAAAUCAAUCACUUAUGACUUGCUUACUGAAGCCGUUUACAAGAGGUUGAUAAAUAGGCCUUCGGGUUCUCUGCAAUCCAACCAACGAUUAACAAUCAUCAAUCAAAUAACAGCUGAACAAGACGAACUGUCGCUUACCAAAAAUGCAGAGUCUAGAUUUAAAAGGGAAAACAAUCGGCUCUUACCCACACAAGUCGAGAGUACAGAUAGAAUGAUAGGGGCACCCCCAAUAUUAGAGAACACUUGUAAAAGCUGAAAAUAGAGUGGGGAAAGGUAUAUACAGUAACGGUUAAAGUAUUAAAAUGGAAGAAUGACCAGAGGAUAGGAGAAAAAUAAAGUAUUCGGCAAGUGAACAAAAGGGAAAAAAAGAGUCGAUUAGCAAUAGUUGAGGGGUCUAAGAGACAGAGAUAGGAGUAUUCAGCCAAAAGCAUCAACGCAAGAAAUGAUGAUUGAAAAAAACCAAAUGAGGGGAAAAAAGAAUGGCAUUCGGUUAAGGGAAAGAAGAAGGACACGAGAGGAAACGAUUUGCUACCAGAGUAGGGAAGAAGAGAAGUUGAUCAAAAUUAGGCUCUGUAAAGAAGAGCAACCCGAAACAUACCUAAAAUGCAAAAUACCUGAGUGGUUAACAAUGUUCGGUCUUAAGAACAAAAGAGAAAAAAAGAAGCAACAAAGUUUCUAUCACAAAAUCGGCACCCCCAGAAUAAAGUCCCAAAACACAAAAAGGAAACAGAAUUUCCCAAAACUGAAGUUUUUUUAGGGAAAAGAUAACUUAGCCAAAAUUUUGUGUACCUCAUAACCAAUUUUGGCACAACACCACUUCUCUUCAAAUCCCACUUUUCCUCCCCUUAAUUCUCUCCUCAUAUCUCUCCUCAACUCCCUCCUACAAUCCCUCCAUGACCAAUUCAAACUCCACUCCACUCCACUCUACAGUGUUUUAGAAAAACUCUACUACCUCCCAUAGCCAACAAUAAAAAUAAUCUCCAUUUGCACAAGUAGGGAUUCGAACCUCAGACUCCUUGUACACUCCACACGCCACUUACCACUGGGCUAGCAUGCUUCCUUUUUGCCAUACUUUACCAAAAUAAACUUAUAACCCUACUGGCCAAAGAUAGGGAUUUUAUCCUCAAAAGCCAAAAUUUUGUGGAAGCCAAGGCUUGAACUCAUGACUUCCCAGACACUUCCAGAGCACACAACCACUAAGCCAAACACACAAUUGUGUCACUUCCUUACACAAUUAAAUAUUUAUGAGCAGCUUCCCAACUGCUCCCUCGCUCAAGACCUAAUACUUCUAGCCCAAAUUUGGGGCGUUACAAUUCUACCCUCCUUAAAGAAAUUUUUCCCCUGAAAUUUCCCAAUAUCAGAACAAUCGCAUAACACGAACUACACCAUCAUGCUCCCGCUGCACACUAUAGAUCCAAAACCAUACCACAUUUCACUUGAGCGUUUCCAAUACAAUCCAUAGAUAGAUUGGAACCAUGCAUCAAUCCAAUACUCACCGCACGAUCAUGACACCCCGCUGUAGCACCUCCAUGGCCUUCGCUGCAGCCACUUGUACCCCUUUUAUGAGAACCUCCGGUGCUAAAAAUUGAUUCACAUUUUAUCUUUAUUAGCAGUUUUAUGCAUCAGUUUACAAUUCCAGUGUUCAUUAACAGGUGUCUUAUGGAAUAGCAUUAUCAGUAUUUAAGAGUUUGUUUUCGCGGUACGCAGUGUCUAUCAAUGUCCACCAGUGUAAUGGCCUAAAUUCAAGGUUAUCGGAACAAUGGUUUCAUAACCAUAGAUCCGAUUUAAAGAGAAAUUUAUUUCAAUAUUUUUGCUUGAAAAUUUAUAUGAUAGGAAAAUCGUAUGAAAAUAUUGAUAGGAAAAUUUUAUCGAUUUAGUGAUUAGUUAGAAAAAGAAAUUAUUGAAGAAAUUGGGUAAAAUAAGGUAUCGAGGCCUCUAUCUCGUAAAAUCGAGUCGAAAAUAAUUUUAUAAAUAUUUAUGAAAUGUUAUUAAUGUGGUAUUAAAAUUUCGUUAGGAAAUUUUAAUGUUUGGGUAGUCAAUUAAAUGAAAAAGACUGAAUUAUAAUAGGUGUAAAAGUUGCUAGAGUGAUUAAAUAGCUUAAGAGUCUAAUGAGAAAGGAUUUAAAAGGCAAUUAGACCCAAAAGUUAUUUGGCUUGGACGGAAAGGGUAUGAAAUCAGCAGAAAAAUUGAUAAAUUAAGGGUAAAAUUGGAAUAUUGCAAAAUUAACUAAAUAAAACUAGGACUAAAUAGGAAAUAUCUAGAUUUCUCUUCAAUUCCAGCAGCUAAAAACGCCAUAGGAGGGUUCUAUAAGCUGGUAUUUCAUAAUUUUUGCACCAAAUCCGAAAGAUUCAAAUACGAAGCUAGAUCGAGGAAAGGAAAAAGUUCGGGAUUAGUAGAUUUUUACUGUUUACAAACAAGUAUCAAGGUAAGUUCGUGUAACUUGAAUUAUAUUCUUAAAUGCUUGAGAUUGUAUGUUAUUGAUGUGAAUAUGGUUUGAGUGUUCAUUGUAUGAAAAUUAAUGAAACAUUGAUAUAUUUGAUAAAAUGGGAAGAAAUCCCGAUUGAAUGAAAGGAAAAUUCGAUGGAUCUCUGAAAAGGAAUUGAAAGUAAAAAGGAUCUAGCUCGGACGGGUGAUCUUAUCCUGAUAUAGCCCUUCCGAAGAAUAUGUGUAAAAUGGAUUUAGCCCGGACGGGUAAUCCGAAUUAGGGUCUGAAUUUAGCCUGGACUGGUAAUUCAGAUCCAAGCUCAUUAGAGUAAUUGUCGUUGCAGGGGAUUUAGCCUGGACUGGUAAUCCCGACAAUACUCUAUGAGUUUAUAUUGCAGGGGAUUUAGCCUGGACUGGUAAUCCCGCUGCAAGGUUGAGGUUCGCGGGAAUGUGCUCUCUGAAAUGGAUAUGUGCGCACAUGAAUAUGAAUUGACGGGCCCGGAAUUGUACACUAAAUGUGUACCUCUGAAAAUCCAUCGAAAUUCUGAUAAAUUCAACGGGAUAAAUAUGGAAAAAUAACAAGGAAAUGGAAAUCAUGGUAUUGAAGAGCUCAUCAAUCAUGGUAUAUAUUAUUGGUACAUGAAAAUUAUUGUACUAACUUGAAUGUUGAGUUUGUGCAUAUUAGGGUAAUAAUGCAUUGAAUGGAUAUAUGGAUGUUUAUUGUAUUGUAUUGAAAAUAUUAGGUAUUCUUGUUACAUGAGCUUACUAAGCACAAAGUGCUUACCCCGUUUCCUUUUUCCCUGUUUUGUAGUGUUAAGAGCUCGGAGGUCGGAUUUGGUCAGAGACACAUCACACUGUCAACCUCAGGAUCUCGGUAUAUAAAGAAACUUUAUUUUGGAAAUCAAUGGCAUGUAUAAGCUAACAAAGUAAAUGUUAACGUGAAAUGAAUGUAAAGUUAGCCAUUAGUAUGGUUAACAAAACUGGUUAUAGAUAUGUGAUGACGUUAUCUUAUAUAAAUGCAUGAAUCUAUCAUGAAAAUAUGUUGAAUUGAUUUGGUUGAUGUGGAUUGGUCUCGAUUUAAUAUUACAGGGAAGGUUAGAUAUUUAUAAAAGAGCUAUAUUGAAUAUAAAAAAAAAUUUAAUUCGUAAACUCUGGUAAUGCCUCGUACCCUAUUCCGGCAAUGAAUACGGGUAGGGGUAUUACAACCAGUCUCACUACAGUUUCAGUAUACACUACUAAAAAGUUUGCAAUAUAGUAUAUUACCUAUGGUAGUCUUAGUAAUCCUACCUAUGGUAGCUCCAAUAAAAAUAAAAAUACAAUUUUUAGAGAGAACUUACAAGAUCAGCGCGGAGACUCGGUGUACCACACAUCCAGUAAAACAUUUCAAAAUGUUUCAAAUCAUUCGAAAUAGUUCUCUUUGAAUUCCUCAGUUUAAAAAGAAACCCAAAUUCACAGUCAAGUUUUGUAACCUGGCUCUGAUACCACUAAAUGUAACAUCCCAAACCUGGCCUAAACAUUAUAGUCGAAUCUGGCGAUAUCACAUUGAAGUAUUUUUCGUAAAACGUGAUAACGUUUAAAAAGCCCAAUGUUUAUUUAGCCUCGUUGUGUGAUCUAAAAAAUAAUUUUAAAACUUGCAUCACUGUCAAAAAGUAUUUACUUUAAAACAUUAUUAAUUCUAAAAUCUCGUUUAUCGUGAAAGCUUUUGAAAUGAUUUUGCGUAUUCGUGGUAUUUUGGUAAAUCAUGCAUAUCUUUUAAAAACCCGCAUCCUACCACUAGCAGGUAUAAAUCAUAAUAAAAUAAUAAAAUCCCAAAUUAAAGAAUAAAACUUAAAGAGGCCUUUUACAUAAAAAUACCCAAAUAAAACUACUUUUAAGUUAAAAGAUAAAUUCGGAAGCGUAAGCUAUUGUGUGUCCACCUCCGAGUCCUUCGCAGCACCGAUCUGCCUAAGGACUACCUAUACAAUUAAUACAAUUGGGUGAGUUUACGAAAACUCAGUGUGUAAUCCCAUAAUAACACGAAGAUAGACAUGCAGAGAGCGAAUACAUUCUGAGCCUAAGCCCAUGACAAUAACAGUGGAAAUUUGGGCCUUAACCCAUUUCAGUAUUAGUAAUCAAUCUGGGUUUUAGCCCAUUUCAGUAAUAGUAAUCAGUGCAGUAACCAUGAUCAAUGCAGUAACAGUAAUCAGUGUAGUAUGCAAACAGAAAAUCCUACCCAAUCCAGCCUCUACACACCAUCUCCAUACCAACCUUACACACCAUGUGGGGAUAAAAUCGACCCACCCAGCCUUACACACCAAGUAGCACCGGUUACGACACUAAAAUAGAAUUGCAGUAAAGAUGCCAGUAUAAUAGGCUUAAAGCCAUCAGUAGGUCUACAGUCGUCUUGCGCGACUCGUGCGACCAUAUCAGUACAGUACACUUCCUCUAAAAUCAUAUAUCCCACCCCAUGCAAUACAACAUAAUAUUAUACAUGGAUGCAACAUACAUAUAACAUGGCAUACUCAAAUACAGUCAUACACAUCGUAGAACAAAUCUAUCAUUUUUCCUUACCGGGGUAUUAAAGUUAUUUUACCCUACAAGGGUAUUUCGGUCAUUCUACCCUAUGGGCGUAUUUCGGUCAUUUUACCCUAUGAGGGUAUUUCGAUCAUUUUACCCUAUGAGGGUAUUUCAGUCAUUUUAUCAUAUAAGGGUUCAGGUGCACUUACCGACCCAACAGAAGGUCACAAUCGUCUCAGGCGACCUGUGCAACCUUAACAAUCAAAUAGUGAAAAUGGCCCAAUGCCCAUAAUGCGGGCCUAUGUGCCCACGAAGCCCAAAAAUGACGUUGACUGUACCAACUACACAAUCUGGCCCAAAACUCUCCACGCGUCCAUGUGAUUUACCCGUGUGGGCCCACGAGCUCGUGGGGCCCACACGGCCCAUUUCAGCCCAGCAUGGCUCAAAACGACCUAAGCUCAUGAAAUUGCUCACGGCGGCCUCUACGUCCUAACGUCCAUGAUUUACGCAUUCGGGAUACCACACGCACGCUCGUGUAGAGUCAACAAUCCGUUAUUUCGGCUUUUGCCAUUUUACGAUUAGAGGUAGUGUGAUUACACACCUGAUUACGGAAUGCGCGAAAAAGACCACGAGUACUUCACCCUGAUUAAAUUAAUCGCUUAUGACUUGCUUAUUGAAGCCGUUUGCAAGAGGUUGAUAAAUAGGCCAUAGGGUUCUCUACAAUCCAACCAACGAUUAACAAUCAUCAAUCAAAUAACAAUUGAACAAGACGAAUAGUCGCUUAGCAAAAACGCAGAGUCCAGAUUUAAGAGGGAAAAAUAAUCAGCUCUUACCUACACAAGUUGAGAGUACAGACAGAUUGAUAGAGGCACACCCAUCAGAGAACACUUGCAAAAGCCGAAAACAGAGUGGGGAGAGGUAUAUGCAGUAACCGUUAAAGUAUUAAGAUAGAAGAAUGACCAUAGGAGAGGAGAAGAAUGAGGUAUUCGGCAAGUGAACAAAAGGGAAGAAAAGAGUUGGUUAGCAAUAGUCAAGGGGUCUAAGAGAUAGAGAUGGGAGUAUUCAGCCAAAAGCAUCAAUGUAAGAAAUGAUGAUUGAAGAAAGCCGAAUGAAGGGGAAAUAGAAUGGCAUUCGGUUAAGGGCAAGAAAAAGAAAACGAGAGGAAAUGAUUUGCUACCAGAGUAAGGAAGAAGAGAAGUCGAUCAAAACUAGGCUCUGUAAAGAAGAGCAACCCGAAACAUACCCAAAAUGCAAAAUACCUAAGUGGUCAACAAUGUUCUGUCUCAAAAACAAAAGAGAAAAAGAGAAACAACAAAGUUUCUAGCACAAAAUCGACACCCUCAAAAUAAAGUCCCAAAACACAAAAAAGAAACAAAAUUUUCCAAAACCGACAAUUUUUUAUUUUGAGAGAAAAGCUAACUUAGCUGAAAUUUUGUGUACCUCCUAACCAAUUUCGGCACAACACAACUUCUCUUCAAAUCCCACUUUUUAUUCCCUUUAAUUCUCUCCUGAUAUCUCUCCUCAACUCUCUCCUACAAUCCCUCCAUGAUCAAUUCAAACUCCACUCCACUUUACAGUGUUUCAGUCAAACCCUACUACCUCUUAUAACCAACAGUAAAAAUAAUCUCUAUUUGCACAAGCAGGGAUUCGAACCUCAGACACCUUGCACACUCCACACGCCACUUACCACUGAGCUAGCAUGCUUGCUUUUUGUCAUACUUUACCAAAAUAAACUUAUAACCCUACUGGCCAAAGAUAGGGGUUUUAUCCUCAAAAACCAAAAUUUUGUGGAAGCUAGGGCUUGAACCCAUGACUUCCCAGACACUUCCAGAGUAUACAACCAUUAAGCCAAACACACAAUUGUGUCACUUCCUUGUACAAUUAAAUAUUUAUGAGCAGGUUCCCAACUGCUCCCUCGCUCAAGACCUAAUACUUCUAGGCCCAAAUUUGGGGCGUUACAACCAAACCUCGCUUAGACGUUAUGGUCGAACCUAGCGAUGUCACAUUGAAGUGUUUUUUGUAAAACAUGAUAACUUUUGAAAAGCCCAAUGUUUAUUUACCCUCUUUAUGUGAUCUAGAAAAUAAUUUUAAAACUUGUGUCACUAUUGAAAAGUAAUUACUUUAAAACGCUAUUAAUUCUAAAAUCCUGUUUGUCACGGAAGCUUCUGAAACAGUUUUGCGCAUUCAUGGUAUUUUGGUAAAUCAUGCAUAUCUUUUGAAAACCUGCAUCCUACCACUAGCAGGUAUAAAUCAUGAUAAAAUAAUAAAAGCCCAAAUUAAAGAAUAAAUCUUAAAGAGGCCUUUUACAUAAAAAUACCCAAAUAAAACUACUUAGAAGUUAAAAGAUAAAUUCGGAAGCGUAAGCUGUUGUGUGUCCACCUCCGAGUCCCUCGCAGGACAGAUCCGCCUAAGGAUUACUGUACAGUUAAAAUAGUUGGGUGAGUUUACGAAAACUCAGUGUGUAAUCCCAAUGAUAAAAAAACAGUAAAUAACACAGUCUGGGCCUAAGCCAAUAUCAGUAAUAGUUCAAUAUCAGUUAGGGCCUUGGCCCAUUAUGUAACAGUAGCAGUGGCAGAAAUCAGUGCAGUAACCAUGAUCAAUGCAGUAGCAGUAAUCAGUACAGAAUACAAAUAAAAAAUCCUACCCAUCCAUCCUCUACACUCCACUCCGUCCAGCCCUACACUCCAUGUAAGGAUAAAAUCAACCCACCCAUCCCUACACUCCAAAUAUAGCAUCGAUUGCAGCACUAAUCAGUAAUUGCAGCAGUGCUGCUAGUAAUAGGCCUAAAGCCAUCAGUAGGUCCACUGUCGUCUUGGGUGACCCGUGUGACCAUAUCAAUACAGUACACUUCCUCUAAAAUCAUAUAUCUCACCCCAUGCAAUGCAACAUAAUAUCAUACAUGGAUGCAAAAUACAUAUAACAUGGCAUGCUCAAAUACAGUCAUACACAUCGUAGAACAAAUCUGUCAUUUUACAUUACCGGGGUAUAAAAGUCAUUUUACCCUACAGGGGUAUUUCGAUCAUUCUACCUUAUGGGGGUAUUUCGAUCAUUCUACUUUAUGGGGGUAUUUCAAACAUUUUACCCUAUGAGGGUAUUUCGGUUAUUUUACCCUAUGAGGGUAUUUCGAUCAUUUGAUCACAUAAGGGUAAAAUCGUCAUUUUAUCAAAUAAGGGAAAAAUCGUCAUUUUAUCACAAAAGGGAAAAAUCGUCAUUUUCUCACAUAAGGGCAAAAUCAUCAUUUUAUCACGGAAGGGCAAAAUCGCCAUUUUAUCACAUAAGAGAAAAAUCGUCAAUUUAUCACAUAAGGGCAAAAUCGUCAUUUUAUUACAUAAGGGAAAAAUCAUCAUUUUAUCAUAUAAGGAUAAAAUCAUAAUUUUAUCACAUAAAGGCAAAAUCGUCAUUUUAUCACAUAAGGGCAAAAUCGUCAUUUUAUCACAUAAGGGCAAAAUUGUCAUUUUUCACAUAAGGGAAAAAUCAUCAUUUUAUCACAUAAGGGUAAAAUUGUCAUUUUAUCACAUGAGGGUUCAAGUACGCUUACCGACCCAAUAGAAGGUCACACUCGUCUCAGGAGACCCGUGUAACCUUAACAAUCAAACAGUGAAAAUGGGCCUAAAGCCCACAAUGCGAGCCCAUGUGGGCCCACAUGCCCAUGUGGCCUACGAAGCCCAAAAAUGGCCUUGACUGUGCGAACUACACACUCUGGCCCAAAAAUCUCCACGUGUUCGUAUGAUUUACCCGUGUGGGCCCACGAGCUCGUGGGGCUCACAUAGCCUAUUUCUGCCUAACAUGGCCCAAAACAGCUUAAGUCCAUGGUAUCACCCAUGGUGGCCUCUCAAAAUUUAGUACCCACAUUUAUGCGUUUGGGGUUACCACACGAGCGAUUGUACGCCCAUGUGGCAUCAACGAUCCUAUUUUUUGGCUUUUGCCGAUUUACAGUAAUGGUAGUAUUUUACACACCUAUUUAGAAAAACACGUACGUAGCCCCUUGAGCAUUCCAAACCUUGAUCCAAACCAUAACCAUUCCAUUAGUCUCAAGGUAAAUAAAUUAAUACUACUCAUUUCCAUAAUACUAAUCCAAAAAAUCAAUUGUCACAUACAUUGUUUCGAACCCCCAAGCCUCUACAUACCUAAACCGUUGAUCAAGAAUGAUCUUUGCCCCUUCUUCGGUUAUUAUUUGCAUACCAACCAAAUCUAUUAACCUUGAUCAUAUUGUUCGCACAACCAUUUGAACCAAGCGUAAACCACUUACCGAAUCGUAAAAUCGUCUCUAGAGAAGGGAAGUAGUCAUUCUAUUUCCACAAUGAUCACCCCAAGCGACAGAGGCAGAGGUUUAGCACAAACCACCCUUAGCAAGCAUCAGUAGCAAAGAAUACAUUAGAUGGGGACAAUCAACACGCCAGAAAAAUAAAAAGGAAAGAAUAACGAUGUGUACUUAAAACAAGAGCCAGACUUACCCAUGUAAAAUCAGUGAAAAGAAUGACCACAAAAACGGCGAAUAGCAACGAAGGAAAAGUCGACACAGUGAGGGUAAGAAAGGCAGGAGUGUUUGGCCAUGUAUUAUGAUUGAGAGAGAGAAGAUAAGAAGAGAAUUAGUCAAGCACUAGGAGUUAAAAGCCGAAGAAUAUGAGAGAGGGAAGUAGAGGGAACAUUUGGCCGAGGAGAACAACAAACAACAGAAAAGUGUCUGACCGGAGGGUAAGGGAAAGAGCAAAAGUACCAGAAGAAAAGAGAGAGGAGUAGAGAAUAAGAAAAGACACAAAAAGAAAUGCCCAAAACUGUAAGAUAGAGAGGGAGGGAAAAGUAAUGUGCGACCAUCCAAAACCCAGAGUGAAAGGAACCCCCAAACAAUUGAUAGGAACCAAAAAAUGAGGAGAGAGAGUACCAAAGCUGAAUUCUUCUUGUGCCAACAUUCAAACUUGGCACCAACUCCCUUCUACUUCAAAUCCCCUUAAUUUCUUCCUAAAAUCCCUCCUCAUAUCUCUCAUCAACUCCAUCCUACAAUCCCUCCAUGACCAAUUUAAACUCUACCCCACUCUGUUGUGUUUCAGUCAAACACUAUUACCUCCCAUAGCCAACAGUAAAAAUAAUCUCUAUUUGCACAAGCAAGGAUUCGAACCUCAGACCACUAGCACACUCGACAUGCUUCUAUCCACUAGACCAGCAGGCUCUUUAUGUCAUACUUUACUGAAAUAUACUUAUAACCCUACUGGCCAAAGAUAGGGGUUUUAUCCUCAAAAACCAAAAUCUUGUGGAAGCCAGGGCUUGAACCCAUGACUUCCCAGACACUUACAGAGCACACAACCACUAAGCCAAACACACAAUUUUGUCACUUCCUUGCACAAUUAAAUAUUUAUGAACAGCUUCCCAACUACUCCCUCGCUCAAUACCUAAUACUUCUAGGCCCAAAUUUGGGGCGUUACAAUUCACCCCUCCUUAAAGAAAUUUCGUCACCGAAAUUUCCAACUAUCAGAACGGUCGAUUAACACAUACUACACCAUCACGCUCCCGCUGCGUACUCUAGUUCCAAAACAUUACGACACUUAACUUGAAUGUUUCCAGUAUAGUCUAUAAAUAUACUAGGGUAGUGCGUCAAUCAAAUACUCAGCCGUGCGACCAUGAGACCCAGCUCGAGCACUUCCAUAGCUCCACCACAGCUUUUUGUACCCCUUUUGCAAGUACUUUCGAUGUUCAUAAUCGAAUUGCGUCUUAUAUUUAUUAACAGUUUUAUGCAGAUCAGUUUACAGUUCCAGUUGUUUAUUAAAAGGUAUCUUAUGGAAUAACAGUAUCAGUAUUUAAGAGUUUGUUUUCGCGGUACACAGUGUCUAUCGAUGUCCACCAGUCUCACUACAGCUUCAGUAUACACUACUAAAAAGUUUGCAGUACGGUAUACUACUUAUGGUAGUCUUAGUAAUCCUACCUAUGGCAGUUCCAAUCAAAAUCAAAAUACAGUUUUCAGAGAGAACUUACAGGAUCAGUGCGGAGACUCGAUGUACCACACAUUCAAUAAAACAUUUUAAAAUACUUCAAAUCAUUCGAAAUAGUUCUCUUUGAAUUCUCAAUUUUAAAAUGAAACCCAAAUCCAUAGUCGAGUUUUGUAACUUGGCUCUGAUACCACUAAAUGUAACACCCCAAACCUAGCCUGGACGUUAUGGCUGAAUCUGGUGAUGUCACAUUGAAGUGUUUUUCGUAAAACGUUAUAACGUUUGAAAAACCCAAUGUUUAUUUAGCCCAUUUGUGUGAUCUAGAAAAUAGUUUUAAAACUUGUGUCACUAUCUAAAAGUAUUUACUUUAAAACGUUAUUAAUUCCAAAAUCUUAUUUAUUGUGGAAGCUUCUAAAAUGAUUUUACGUAUUCGUGGUCUUUUGGUAAAUCAUGCAUAUCUUUUGAAAACCCACAUCCUACCACUAGCAAGUAUAAAUCAUAAUAAAAUAAUAAAAGCAUGAUAAAAUAAUAAAAUCCCAAAUUAAAGAAUAAAACUUAAAAAGGCCUUUUACAUAAAAAUACCCAAAUAAAACUACUUAUAAGUUAAAAGAUAAAUUCAGAAGCGUAAGCUGUUGUGUGUCCACCUCCGAGUCCCUUGUAGCACCGAUCCGCCUAAGGAUUACCUUUACAGUUAAAAUAGUUGGGUGAGUUUACGAAAACUCAGUGUGUAAUCCCAAUGAUAAACAAACAGUGAACAACACAGUCUGGGCCUAAGCCCAUAUCAGUAACAGUUCAAUAUCAGUUAGGGCCUUGGCCCAUUCUGUAACAAUAGCAGUGGCAGAAAUUAGUGCAGUAACUAUGAUAAAUGCAGUAGCAGUAAUCAGUAUAGAAUGGAAACAGAAAAUCCUACCCAUCCAUCCUCUACACUCCACUCCGUCCAGCCCUACACUCCAUGUGGGGAUAAAAUCAACCCACCCAUCCCUACACUCCAAAUAUAGCAUUGGUUGCGGCACUAAUCAGUAAUUGCAGUAGUGCUGCCAGUAAUAGGCUUAAAACCAUCAGUAGGUCCACUGUCGUCUUGGGUGACCCGUGUGACCAUAUUAGUACAGUACACUUCUUCUAAAAUCAUAUAUCUCACCCCAUGCAAUGCAACAUAAUAUCAUACAUGGAUGCAAAAUACAUAUAACAUGGCAUGCUCAAAUACAAUCACACAUAUCGUAGAACAAAUCUAUCAUUUUACCUUACCGGGGUAUUAAAGUCAUUUUAAGGGGUAGGGGUAUUUCGGUCAUUCUACCCUAUGGGAGUAUUUCAGUCAUUCUACCCUAUGGGGGUAUUUCAGACAUUUUAUCCUAUGAGGGUAUCUCGAUGAUUUUACCCUAUGAGGGUAUUUUGAUCAUUUGAUAACAUAAGGGCAAAAUCAUCAUUUUAUCACAGCAAAAUUGUCAUUUUAUCACAUAAAGGCAAAAUCGUCAUUUUAUCACGUAAGGGUAAAAUUGUCAUUUUAUCAAAUAAGGGUAAAAUCAUCAUUUUAUCACAUAAGGGUUCAAGUACGCUUACCAACCCAACAGAAGGUCACAGUCGUCUCGGGCGACCCGUGCAACCUUAAUAAUCAAACAGUAAAAAUGGGUCCAAAGCCUAUGAUGCGGGCCCAUGUGGGUCCACACUCCUGUGUGGCCCAUGAAGCCCAAAAAUGGCCUUGAUUGUGUGAACUACACAAUCUGGCCCAAAAAAUCUCUACGCGUCCGUGUGAUUUACCCAUGUCGACCCACGAGCCCGCGACCCACCAUGGCCCAAAACGGCUUAAGUCUAUAGUAUCGCCUAUGGUGGCCUCUUGAAAUUCAGUACCCACAUUUAUGCGUUUGGGGUUACCACACGAGCGAUUGUACGCCCAUGUGGCAUCAACGAUCCUAUUUUUUGGCUUUUGCCGAUUUACAGUAAUGGUAGUAUUUUACACACCUAUUUACAAAAACACGUACGUAGCCCCUUGAGCAUUCCAAACCUUGAUCCAAACCAUAACCAUUCCAUUAGUCUCAAGGUAAAUAAAUUAAUACUACUCAUUUCCAUAAUACUAAUCCAAAAAAUCAAUUGUCACAUACAUUGUUUCGAACCCCCAAGCCUCUACAUACCUAAACCGUUGAUCAAGAAUGAUCUUUGCCCCUUCUUCGGUUAUUAUUUGCAUACCAACCAAAUCUAUUAACCUUGAUCAUAUUGUUCGCACAACCAUUUGAACCAAGCGUAAACCACUUACCGAAUCGUAAAAUCGUCUCUAGAGAAUGAAGUAGUCGUUCUAUUUCUACAAUGAUCACCCCAAGCGACAGAGACAAAGGCUUAGCACAAACCACCGCUAGCAAGCAUCAGUAGCAAAGAAUACAUUAGAUGGGGACUAUCAACACGACAAAAAAACAAAAAGGAAAGAAUAAUGAUGUGCACUUAAAACAAGAGCCAAACUUACCCAUGCAAAAACGGUGAAAAGAAUGACCAAAGAAACGGCGGAUAGCAACGAAGGAAAAUUUGACAGAGUGAGGAUAAGAGAGGUAGGAGUAUUCGACCAUGUAUUAUGGUUGAGAGAGAGAGGAGAUAAGAAGAGAAUCGGUCAAUAACUAGGAGUUAAAAGCCUAAGAAUAUGAAAUAGGGGAGUAGAUGAAACAUUCGGCCGAGGAGAAUAAUAAACAGCAGAAAAGUACCUGACCGAAGAGUAGGGUAAAGAGCAAAAGUGCCAGAAGAAAAGAGAGAGGAGCAGAAAAUAAGCAAAGACACAAAAGGAAAUACCCAAAAUCGUAAGAUAGAGAGGGAGAAAGAAGCAAUGUUCGGCCAUCCAAAACCCAGAGUGAAAGGAACUCCCAAACAAUUGAUAGGAACCAAAAAAUGAGGAGAAUGAGUACCAAAGCAGAAUUCUUCUUGUGCCAACAUUCAAACUCGGCACCAACUCCCUUCCACUUAAAAUCCCCUUGAUUUCCUCCUAAAAUCCCUCCUCAUAUCUCUCCUCAACUCCCUCCUACAAUCCCUCAAUGACCAAUUUAAACUCUACUCCACUCUACAGUGUUUCAGUCAAACACUACUACCUCCCAUAGCCAACAGUAAAAAUAAUCUCCAUUUGCACAAGCAAGGAUUUAAACCUCAAGCCACUAGCACACUCCACACGCCAGUAUCCACUAGACUAGCAGGCUCUUUAUGUAAUAUUUUACCAAAAUAAACUUAUAACCCUACUGGCCAAAGAUAGGGGUUUUAUCAUCAAAAACCAAAAUUUUGUGGAAGCCAAGGCUUGAACCAAUGAAUUCCCAGACACUUCCAGAGCAUACAACCACUAAGCCAAACACACAAUUGUGUCACUUCUUUGCAUAAUUAAACAUUUAUGAGCAGCUUUCCAACUGCUCCCUCGAUCAAGUCCUAAUACUUUUAGGCCCAAAUUUGUGGCGUUACAAUUUUAAAUUAAGACAAAUCAUAAACCUAGCAUAGGAUACUUUCAUAAAAUCUUGAGAGGUUCAAUGUUAUUAAUUAAAUCUUUUAAAUAAUAAUAAUAAAAGAUCGAAUAAGUUGUAGAUUGAUUUUAAUAUUUCUCUUAAUUCAUUGGUAAUUUUUGGGGGUAUUUUUUUAGAAUUCUAAAAUUGAAUUAAUUUUAGGAAUUGAAGGUAUUUUACUAGAAUUAUUUAGGUAUCCUUUAAGGUUCCCGUUAAAAGUAAAAACCUCUAAUUUAAGUUUUAAAUUAGAUAAGUUUGGUGAACACAUCUUAAUCAAGUUACAAGUAAACCGGAGGCAUUUUCUUUAGAGUUUUUAUUUA